CUAUAACUUGUCAUGUGAAAUAUUCUUAUUAGUUAUUAGUCAGACAUUUAGUUAGUUAGAUUCUGUACACUUGGUACGGAACACCUUACGUACAAUGGCACGUAACAGAGAAACAACAUUCACAAAACACGUAGCAUUCACUUCACAAAUUAACAGAUUAUGGCAAUUUUGUUUUUGGAUAUUACAUGGCAAUAGACCUGGUGCAACAUGUAGUGACGUCUCGUGACAAACACAGUCAGGAGUCAUUCACAUAAUGCUGGAUUCCUCACUGAUUCAGUGCAGUGAUGGCUGAAGGCACCAGGAGUCUGUUUUUAAACCGUACUCUGUUGUAUCUAAACGUUCUGUAUCUGAAGUACUGGUGUAGUGGGUGAGUGUGAUCUUGUAUUAUUGUGUUUUUGCAAUGCAUGUAAAGGCUUUGGCAUUUAAUUGAGUGAGACUGGGAGUGUGGAGGCCUACAGUAUAACCUUUGAGGCAAUAUUGGUUGUUGUGGUUUGUGAGGAUGUUCCAUUUUUUUGAUUGUGAGCGUGUUAUAAAAGCAUGUAGAACAAUACAUGAGAACUGGUUGAAUGCUUUUAUAAAACAGAAGGAGGAAAUUUGACAUUUAGUCCUUUUAUUUUGCAAAUGAAGCCUUUGAUUGAUUUUCUUUUGAAUAUCUCAUGUGUGUUGAUCAAAACUGCAUUUAUUCAGCUCAGUAUAAAAGGAUAAGCCCCAAAUCAUGGAACAUUGGCAGGUUAUAACAGCAAGCCAUAAUGUACGAUGCAUGUAGUGUAUGCUUGAGCACAAUCUAAUUUAUUUAUACAUGUAUUUCAUAAAAAGAUUUGGCAAUAUGGAACAUCAGACAACAAUAUAAAAUACAAUAUACAACAUCUAUGUCCUUUAUAGCUUUGUUUUGUUUAGCGCAUGCUGCAACAUUUCUGACUUUUCCUGAAGCCACUAAAACAGGAAAUGAUGCUUAAAUGUGACAUUUCUUAUGAUUGGAGUUCACCCUAGUGAUGAACUGCUCUAAAGUUCAAGAGGAUCAGAAUCCAAUGUUGUGUCUUCUAAAAUAUCAAGUGUCUACUUUCCGUUUUUCAGAAUUUAUGACUGUUUGGCUGAGGAUGAAGAGAAGCUGCUCUUGAGAAAGGGAGGCUAAAGAAAGUUUGAUGGCAGUUUUUCUGAGCCGUGACAUGCUGUGAGUGACAAGUAACCUGCAGGGGGAAAAAGGACCAGGUAUGCACACUGCUCUCUCCCCCACUAUCUCCACAUGUAUGAGCACCGGAUUACAAGUGAAAGGCAAACUUUGCUACUGCUUUCUUUGUAUGUGCAAAAAUGAGAUCAAGAGGCCUCCAACAACAACAACAACAAAAACAAAAACACAUUUCUGUAUGAUUUUUUUUAAAGGAACAGAGUGAACUAUUGAGACUCUGUAAGUGUCUCGGCUAAUGGUUUAGCUAAUGAUUCCUCAUUAUAGUGAGAAUAGCUGUGGGCCUGGUAAUCCUGACACCCUGACACAAGUCAUUAACUCUGACUGGACUGGAAAAGUCCACACACACAUGCUGGAACAAACCCAUGAUGUUUGUGUGGAUGGAUUUCUGAGUCUGUUUACAAUGCACACACUCACACAGUAACACACUAAUAAUGUGUAAUGUGAACUGUUGUGAGUAUGUGAUAACUAUGAGUAUGAGAUAGUAACAGAUAAACUGAACGGACGGAAAAUCCUGUUGGGGGUGUGAAUUAUGAGAAAUCUGUGUGAUAACAUCUCAUGCAAAUGUAGGGCAAAAACAUAAAAUGCAGUGUCACGCUGCACAACCUCAGUGUCUGCUGAAACCAGGGAGACAAACAUCAGUAACAGUAUUAUAUCGGGUCUAUACGCCAUCUCAUAUUUCCUGUAUCUCCACGUCACAGUGCAUUCUUCAUACUGUACUGUAUAUUUGAGAUAAGAUGCUAAUUUAUUUCUUAGUGCAAACACAGAUCAAUUCAGAGACACAGACGGGACAGAAGUCAGGAGGAUGUGCAGCUGAUUUUUGUAAACUUUUAAUGGAACCAAUUAUGUGUUUGGGGAAAAAGUAGAAGUAAUUAUUCUAAGUGUGUGUUCUUAAGAACCAGCACGAGAAGUGGAUUAUGCCAUUGAUGUGAGAUUGUAAAAGCACAGAGCACAUCCCUUUGCUGAGGGAAUCAAAGAGAGGUGAGAAUGAGAACGACACGGCUGAGUUAAGUUUAUUUAGAAAGAACGCUCUCUCUCUCUCUAAGCUGCUCCCAGAGGAAUGGAUCCACUGCUACUCUCUCUAUUUUAGAGUGUUCUUAAACCCCAGAGAAAGAGAGGCUCUAAUUUUUGCCUGCCUUGCACUCUGCAAGGUUGCACUGAAAAGUUCUGAAAACAUUUCUUUGAAAUUUUCCUCACUAUUUUCCAACAAGAGACAGUGGAGCGCUUUGAAUUCUGAGCUGUAUUAUGACCAAAGGCUACUCGACGAUGACGUUUAACGCUCACAAUAAUGGAGUAUUCGUGUCAGGCCCACAUAUUCCUUAUGACCUUUAUAUGGUGUGUUUUCGGAUGUGAUUAUUUUACAAUUCCACCACUGAAAUCCAUACAAUCACAACUACUAAUCAUCUGCCAGAUGUUUACUCUCACAUGUGUUCUAACCUAUAAUCCCUAUAAAACAUGUACAAUACUGA